rnacentral:rRNA from 1 species
AAAUUGAAGAGUUUGAUCAUGGCUCAGAUUGAACGCUGGCGGCAGGCCUAACACAUGCAAGUCGAACGGUAACAGGAAGCAGCUUGCUGCUUCGCUGACGAGUGGCGGACGGGUGAGUAAUGCCUGGGAAACUGCCUGAUGGAGGGGGAUAACUACUGGAAACGGUAGCUAAUACCGCAUAAUGUCGCAAGACCAAAGAGGGGGACC